rnacentral:rRNA from 1 species
GACGAACGCUGGCGGCGUGCUUAACACAUGCAAGUCGAACGGAAAGGCCCUGCUUUUGUGGGGUGCUCGAGUGGCGAACGGGUGAGUAACACGUGAGUAACCUGCCCUUGACUUUGGGAUAACUUCAGGAAACUGGGGCUAAUACCGGAUAGGAGCUCCUGCUGCAUGGUGGGGGUUGGAAAGUUUCGGCGGUUGGGGAUGGACUCGCGGCUUAUCAGCUUGUUGGUGGGGUAGUGGCUUACCAAGGCUUUGACGGGUAGCCGGCCUGGGAGGGUGACCGGCCACAUUAGGACUAAGGUACGGCCCAGACUCGUACGGGAGGCAGCAGUGGGGAAUAUUGCACAGUGAGCGGAAGCCAGAUGCAGCGACGCCGCGUGCGGGAUGACGGCCUUCGGGUUGUGAACCGCUUUCGCCUGUGACGAAGCGUGAGUGACGGUAAUGGGUAAAGAAGCACCGGCUAACUACGUG